CAUAGUAAUGUGGGCACUGGAAGAGGACUGUAUGGUGUCAGACCUCCACCACGUGCCAUCGCUUCUUCAAGAGAAAAUGAACAUUAUCCAGCUCCCUCCACUGGGCUAUACUGUGUAACAGCAGAUGCCGAAAUUUCCCGAAAGUUCUCUGAAAGACCUGCGUGCACAGGAGAGGAAGCUGGAGAGCGGAGUGCCCCCUAGUGACCAUUUUGAGUGGGGAAGGGAAGAAGGAGAGAAAGGGAAGGCAAAGAAAGCCAGCAGGCGCCAUCCCGCAGAAGGAAGUUGGAUUUGAUUCAGGAAGAAGAAACUGGGCCAGUGGACAGUGAUGUGCCUGAGGAUCCCCCCACCGGAAGUCCCCCCCAUGUGAUCCGCGACUCCAGCUGCUCGUGAGGGAGGAAAUGGAGCAGAAGACUGAGCUAGCUUGACGGCAGACAAAAUCCAGUCUCCAUUCUGUCUUUAUCACUGUCAAUGCGCGAAUGUCUUCGCGUUAAGAUCAGAGUAAUAGAGUAAAUUACCCACUGAUCACUCUUGCUAUUGUAAAAUACCAUCCAGAUUCACCUGGGCUUUUAUUUCAGCGAACAGACUGAUUUUCUGGGCUUUCGUAGUGUUUCCUUUCCUGCCCCGGUUCUUCCCCCAAGCUGGUCAGUUGCCCAACACAGAUUCUUCUACCUGAGUAUUUGGGGAACUCGACAACCGAGGGGGUGGGUGCUCCUCUUGUUCUGACAGUUUGAUUUUGUGUUCUAGAUUCGGAGAUACAUUUUAAAUCUGUUUCAGCCUGACUUUCCGUUUCAGUGGGGAGGAUCAGAGCCUUUGCUUGUAACUGCUUGGCCUCGGAAAGGCAGCAUAUUUCUGCACUUCCUUGGCUACCCAGUCAGGGUGGAGAAACUGCUGGAGUUUAUUUCUACAGCUCCCUUUUCUCACCUCUGGUCUUCUCAGUGGUUGGAGAAGUUGGAUGUCUUUGGAAAGACGCGGGAACAUUUCCUCUUCCUAAGAGUGGAAAUCCAGGGAUAGCUUGCUUUCCCAGCCUGGAGCUCCGAAUAAAAAGCUACCGUAUCUUGAGUUCAAAGUGCUCAGAGAAAGGGAAAAAAUAAGUUUGAAGGGCUUGCUUGCAUAGUUACAAUGGGGGUGCCAGAUGUUGCCUAACAAGUUCAAAGAGUGGAAAACCCAGAGUAAGGUUCUGGGUGCCAGUGUCACAGCUCACGCUUGCUGGAGCCAGUGCCGGCGAUGAUGGCAACUGAAUGCCCAGGCAGACCUUGAUGGGGAGCUUGGAAAAUGCAGAUUUCAAGACCUGCCCCCAGGCACCCUGAAUCAAGGAUGGGGCACAGUCUGUGUAUUUUGAGAGCUCCUCAAGUGAUUUUGUUCCCAUGCCCAGGAUUGCAAGCUACUGCUCCCCACAGUUACAACAGAAAAUACGAUACAAAUGGCAAUGGGCCCGGGAGCUAGGAAACCUUGAUUCUAAGUUUCUGCUCUUCCAGUGGAACAACAGAUGUCCUCAUUGGAACGCUAUGCCUCCUUUCCUGU